GCAAUUUACAGAUUCACUAACAUGCUUGGAAUCUUUUAUGAUUAAGGAGAUUGAAACUUUUCAAAAUGAUAUCAUUGCUAGGCUUAAGAUCAUUGGGAUGUCUCAGAAGCAGAAUCACUCCAAUCCCAGGCACCUACUCCACCCAGGACAAACAGCUGCAGAAAGACACUGGACUACGGAGAAAACUGCUGAACUGAAUCAGCCAGUAUACUUCAAAGAUGUACUAACUUCUGAAUGGAAACCAGGACAUGUGUUAUGUUGGGGUUGGGGUUUUGCAUUGGUUUCUACAGGAG
rnacentral:lncRNA from 1 species